AGGUCAACAAAUCUCCAGCAGCUCCUGAGAAAAGAACCAGAAAAGCCUUUCCCAAUCUGGUGUCCUCCAAAUGGAUUGCAACUGAAAAUCCCAGAAGGUGUUGUGGGUCCUUGUGAACAUCAAGUUGAGUACUCAUUUAAUGAAGAGCAAUAAAGGAGUCUCACUUUAGAUCCAAAAUCCCUUUCAGCACAUUCCGCUAUAACAGAGGCACAACUACAACAGAGGCCAAGCAAAUAACUGUAUUGAUUAUAUUUAAUUGUUAAGUAUACUUUAACUUCACUUUGAUCAGAACUACUGUAUAUUCCAUAGGCUGAUUCCUAUAUAUAUAUAUAAAGCAUAGGAUGUUUAGCUGUAAUCUGCAGUUUGUAAUCACUCAAACCAGACUGCAAUUUUGAUUAAUGAAGAAUACUGCUUAGCACUAGUAUGGAAUAUAUAAAAUGGAAUGAAACUUUUCUGAAUGAAUGCAUAAUAAUAUGUAAUAAUCAUAAAAUGUAAUUAUAUGUAGUUCUUCUGAAGUAAACAAUAUAUGGAAUUGCUCUGCCA